GCCGUUUCCGGAGUACACAGAGCGGGGCUGCUGGCCGUGCUGUGCCGUGAGGGGGUGACUGGCCGUGGCAGGCAGUUCUUAAUGAGGAGAGCAGCGCUAUGUUGAGGAGGAGCAAGGAGCUUUUUUGUAAUGAAAAAUGAGGAAUGCUUGUGAGGAAAUGACCUAGAGGCCUUACAAAUACAUUUGUGCAUUCUUGCUGCAGACUCUACAAUUGAAGGCAAACUCAAUCUGGAAGCACCACUUAUUAAUGUUACAUUGGAAACAACUACCUCAUCAUACAGAAGAAAAAGAGAAGGCUUGCAAUAAUAAACACUCUAGUUUUUAAUAACUUGCAAAGUCUUCAGAAAACAAAACAGAUUUUUUUUUUUCAGUAUUAAGAAGAGACACUACAAACAAACUGAUUUGACAGACUGGAUCUGUCAAGACAUGGAAGAUAUUUGAUCUGCUGACAUAAGGACUUUGUUUUUCAAGGAAAGAGUCUCUGCACUGCUUUUACAAUCGCUGUUGAUCAGUGGUUUUGUUCCACUUUUUUGGUAUUACUAGUUGGAGAGCUCCGUUAAGGUAUUACUCCUAAAAGGUGAUUUAAGUUUUAUGAACUUUAACAUCAGGUGUCAACAAGUGCUGGCAAGGAAAUUAUAGGAGUUAAUUUCUUCCCUUCAUAGUGCAUCUUAUGUACAGAGUGGGAAUACUCAAUGAGAGAAAUUUUUU